AAUCUCAGUCACACGCCGGGAGAGUGUAAGCGCGAAUGUGUGUGAGAGAGACAAAGAGACAUAGAGAGAGAGCGAGAGAGAGAGAGAGAGAGAGAGAGAGACAAAGAGAGAGGUAAAGCACUGCUGAACUGUCUCUUUAUUCUUCUCUGUUUGUAAGGAUAGGUGUGUUUGAGUGGGUGGAUGUGAGUGUGGCUCCAUGGGACGGGGACAGCCAUGUGCACCACCAUGAUGGUCCUCAGCACCCUGGCCCUGCUGCUACGCCGACACUUCUUCAACAAAGUCCGACCGCAGCCAGAUGUCCAGGGAGAGAAAGAGACCCCCUACACCAGGAGUGAUGGAGACAAGUCAGAAAAAUGACCAUAAUAUGGGAAGAGGGCACUCAGAGGUGCUCUACUCAUCCCUCACAUGCCUCAGGCCACUUCAGUUUCUAUGCCUGUUAUUCACCACAAACCUUCCGACUGAUGUGAACUCUGCAGCUUUUCCAAUCCCAUGAGGAUGCGGCUGGAUGACCACAGCUGGAGGACAGAAGGAAAUCCGAAGCGGCUCUUAUCCAAACCAUCUGCCCUCCGCAGGCCCACAAACUGAAGCAGACCGACUUCCGAGAAAGGUCCAGUUCUGACCCCAAGCCUGUGAUGCAGCCUGACCUACGACAAUUCAAUGAGUCGAAUGUGUUGCAUCUUCUCACGGGCAGGAAUGUGUUUCAAUCCACUAAUAAGGAGGAAGUGUACAGGAGAAUGUUUAGUGCCUAAACCAGUGGAUUUUUUUAUUUACUGUUGAUUCUUUUGUUGUUUUAGAGGAUAAAUCAGCUUCCACAAACUGAACUCAUGCCAGUGCUGCAAAACUAGUAUAUUCACGCCUGUGAAGUUCUCAUUACUUCUUUACUCAUUUUAAAUGUGGCCUAAGUGUUUGCUAUAUAAUAGAGUGAGAAGUCAAAGCAGGUGACAAAUAGGACAGUCAUAAAUUACAACAAAAGGUUUUAAGUGAAGCAAAAUGCAUUUAACCUUCUACUGUAGCUUCACAUUUAGCUGGAAAACACAUCAGCUGGACUGCAGUAAACACUGCAACAGGUGCCACAAAAAGAAGGAAUGUGUGGCCGUUUUAAAAAGCAAAGCUUCUAAAAGAAACUGAGUAAAGCACAAACCACAACAGAUAUUUCUUAAACAAUGCAGGACAGUGUGCAACGAUAUUGCCCACAGUAGCAAAACUGUAGAACUAUAGAUAAAUGUGUCGUUCUUUGCUUGCUGUAUGCAUUUCAGUCCAGAUAUUGCUAUAGAUUACUUGUUCUUCUUCUUUUUGCUUGGUAUUUUUAGCCUGUUUCACAGGUUCACAAGUUACCGGUUCAGUUCCUGAUGACGCCAUACUUAUCUUUCAUUGACUUCACAUCUGCAGAUGAUAUGUUACUCAUGUCACCCCAAGUUUGUUUUCUAGGCAUGUUUUGAAGCUGCUAGUAUGGUUGUGUGUGGGUUUGUAUGGGCCUGGCCAGUUAGCUAGAUGGAUCGUCUAGCAAGCUACCUAUCAUGCAACCAACCCACCAAAGACACCAACAAUAUCCACUGUUUUCCAUGAUUUAUUUUUCUUUGAAUUGUCUCUGUAUUUGUGCAAAGAUGCAUCAUAUAAACCAGAACAAUAAGAAUUGUUCAUGUUUACAGUAGAACCACACUGCUGAGAUUAGGAACUACAUAUAUUAGGAACUAAAAAUUCCUAGAGAGCAGAGGUUGGAGACCUCAGAGUUUUGUGUCUACAACUGGUCCAAAACCUUUUUGGGCCAAUAGGUUUAUAAUGUCACUUCACCGCAUCAACAUUCAUUGCCAUAAAGUUGAGGAAAUAUCUCAAUUUGUGGAUUGUCACCUUGUUUAAAAAUCAUGGAUACAAAUUUGUUCUACUAUCUACCUUAUUCUGCCUCUCCCAAUUUUGUAAGAGGCUGUGUUACAAUUUCUGAUUUCUGAUAUUAAAUAGUUUAUGGUCGCAUCAAAUUAAAAAUUAAUGCAGUCUGAAUUAGCUACUGCAGUGUAUACUGACAAUAACGCAGCUACCUAUGCUAACUCAACAUUCCAACAAGAUAUUUAAAGCAUAUGUGGGGACAACACAUAGCUUUCUAGCCAGACAACUUAUAUCCACUGCCUUUCAACAAAAAGGAGAUGCAUCUGUGGUUGAAGGAACUAAAACAUCCAUCCAUCAUGUUAUGAUGAGUGAUGAGUAAAAAAGAUGCAUUGGGUGGCAUGAGGCUGCAGGAGAAGAUAACAGGUAAACCUUUCAAGCACCACUGACACCUUCACUUUACUAGAGAUUUACAACCAAGAAAUGUAUCUGGGUUAGGAUUUUCUGGUAUUGGUUUCUCCUCUACAAAAUGAUAAUAGCAGACAUAUGGAUGUUCAGGUGAAUGUUUUAUAUUUAGCUGCGUUAACUACAAAUGCAGCUCCUCUUCUGUGGAAAGUGACGGAUAUAAGUUAAAGGCAGCUCCACAAAACUGGGAUGAUAUUUUUUAUUGAUAGCAGAUUAGGAUAAAUUUUAGAAUAAUUUCAAUUGGAUUCAUUAAUUAAUAAUAGGUAAUAGUUCUUGUCAUGUUUUUUAAUUUGAUUUGAAAAAUCUUUAUAUUUUUUGUUCCUUGAAACAUUUUGGAGAUGCAGCUUUGAAUCUGUAGAUGCAGACUAUAAAUCAAAAGCUAUUAUAAUUCAUUACAUAACAUCCAAUAAUAUUACAACCCACAAUAAUAUUUCUUUGAUUCCCCAGCCAUGCAAAGGCUUCAUUGUCAGAUUAGCCUUUUUUGCUUUUUGGAAGCCAAGAUGCUAAUGAGAUUUAAGAACAUGUGAGAAAGGACAGGUGAUUCUGUUGAAUAAAUGAUUUUGUGAUUGA